GAAGGCCAGGAGCUCCUGCUUGAGCUGGAGAAGAACCAGCUGCUGGCCCCAGGAUACAUAGAAACCCACUACAGCCCAGAUGGGCAGCCAGUGGUGCUGGCCCCCAACCACACGGUGAGAUGCUUCCAUGGGCUCUGGGAUGCACCCCCAGAGGUACCCCCCACCAUUCCUACCCCUACUCCUCCUUGCAUUCCUAAGGGGAGGUUGGAGCCAGCUCCUACCACACCCUCCCUCUUGCCCCUCUUGCUCCAGCCCUGACUGAGAUUUGGGGCUGGCCCCUUCCUCCCUAGGAUCAUUGCCACUACCAAGGGCGAGUAAGGGGCUUCCCCGACUCCUGGGUAGUCCUCUGCACCUGCUCUGGGAUGAGGUGAGCUCUGGGAGAGGAGGCUGGGCCUGGGAUGGGGAAAGAGCUCCCUCACACCCGCUCCUACCCCUCUGCACCCUAGUGGCCUGAUCACCCUCAGCAGGAAUGCCAGCUAUUAUCUGCGUCCCUGGCCACCCCGGGGCUCCAAGGACUUCUCAACCCACAAGAUCUUUCGGAUGGAGCAGCUUCUCACCUGGAAAGGAGCCUGUGGCCACAGGGAUCCUGGGAACAAAGCGGGCAUGACCAGCCUUCCUGGUGGUCCCCAGAGCAGGGUCAGGGGCAUCGAUCGGAUGGGAGUGGGAAUGCUGUAUCUAUAGCCCUCCAAAUCAGAAGAGACAGGAAUUCACAGGCCUCGAGUCCCAGUAUUUUUAUUGGAGUCUGAAGAAACAAGUUCCAGAAAACAUGUUAAACUUCCUUCUGGGAGCUGGGGUUGGUGGUCAGGGCUCAAGCCCAGCAGCUUCCACUCAGGGUCCCCAUUUGCACCUCCGCAGGACAGGCGAGAAGCGCGCAGGACCCGGAAGUACCUGGAACUGUACAUUGUGGCAGACCACACCCUGUUCUUGACUCGGCACCGAAACUUGA
rnacentral:lncRNA from 1 species